GGCGACAUGACCAAGUGGCUAAGGUAGAGGACUGCAACUCCUUCAUCCCCAGUUCGAAUCUGGGUGUCGCCUCCA
rnacentral:tRNA from 12 species